rnacentral:rRNA from 1 species
CGGCGAGGGGAGUGAAAAAGAACCUGAAACCGUGUACGUACAAGCAGUGGGAGCACAGGUUUACCUGUGUGACUGCGUACCUUUUGUAUAAUGGGUCAGCGACUUAUAUUCUGUAGCAAGGUUAACCGCAUAGGGGAGCCGGAGGGAAACCGAGUCUUAAUUGGGCGUUAAGUUGCAGGGUAUAGACCCGAAACCCGGUGAUCUAGCCAUGGGCAGGUUGAAGGUUGGGUAACACUAACUGGAGGACCGAACCGACUAAUGUUGAAAAAUUAGCGGAUGACCUGUGGCUGGGGGUGAAAGGCCAAUCAAACCGGGAGAUAGCUGGUUCUCCCCGAAAGCUAUUUAGGUAGCGCCUCGUGAAUUCAUCUCCGGGGGUAGAGCACUGUUUCGGCUAGGGGGCCAUCCCGGCUUACCAACCCGAUGCA